UCUCAGAAAGUCUGAUGACAAUCCAGGGGAUAUUCUGAAACUCUUACUGAUCAGGGUAAAAUAUAGGAUUUUUUCCUUCUGGAAACUAACAGAUUCACUAAAGAAGACAAACAUACAAAACUAUGACUUCACCUAUUUUAGUCCAAGAUUCAGAAAGAUUGUCAAACAAAGAUGAUAACAAUGCCUGAGGGGAUUCUGAUGGAGAAACAAGAAGGAAAGAAGUUGGACCAUGAAUGAGUUCAUGGAGUAAGUCGGUCUGGUAUAAUGGAACACCACUAUGGAC